rnacentral:rRNA from 1 species
GAUUGUAGGCUGCAACUCGCCUACAUGAAGCCGGAAUCGCUAGUAAUCGUGGAUCAGCAUGCCACGGUGAAUACGUUCCCGGGCCUUGUACACACCGCCCGUCACACCACGAGAGUUUGUAACACCCGAAGUCGGUAGGGUAACCUUUAUGGAGCCAGCCGCCGAAGGUGGGACAGAUAAUUGGGGUGAAGUCGUAACAAGGUAGCCGUAUCGGAAGGUGCGGCUGGAUCACCUCCUUUCUAAGGAA